GGAAAAGGAGGAAGGAGCAAACAGCACAGAUGGAAAAGUGGCUCCUUUCAGGUCAGGCAGACCAAGGCUGUGCGGACGGUCAUGUCUACAAACAGAGCCCAGUUCUCAGACACUCGUGAGACGACAUAGGGAAUGAUGAUCUCAGCUGGGACGUGGAACUGGAGGGCAUAGGUGAAGAAGAUACCAACGGAGUACAUCACCUUGACUGACUGGUACAACCUGCAGACAGAACAUUGAAAGGAUGUGAGAUGCCACCAGGCAUCUGGGAAGGAGGCUCAGGACCCAUUGGAAGCUUCGCAGGUCAAAAGUCAGUGACUCAGGUUAGACUGGCUCAGAGGGGACAUGGAAGCAUGCAUUCCUGGAAGUUCUGAGGCUAUAGGAACUUCCAGGUAUUUCAUUUAAGUAUUGUAAUAAAAAUUAUAAAUGUCA